rnacentral:rRNA from 1 species
UACGGGGGGGGCAAGCGUUGUUCGGAAUUACUGGGCGUAAGGGCUCGUAGGCGGCCAACUAAGUCAGACGUGAAAUCCCUCGGCUUAACCGGGGAACUGCAUCUGAUACUGGAUGGCUUGAGUUCGGGAGAGGGAGUGCGGAAUUCCAGGUGUAGCGGUGAAAUGCGUAGAUAUCGGGAAGAACACCCGUGGCGAAGGCGGUUCUCUGG